rnacentral:rRNA from 1 species
UACGUAGGUGGCAAGCGUUGUCCGGAUUUACUGGGCGUAAAGGGAGCGUAGGUGGAUAUUUAAGUGGGAUGUGAAAUACUCGGGCUUAACCUGGGUGCUGCAUUUCAAACUGGAUAUCUAGAGUGCAGGAGAGGAAGGUAGAAUUCCUAGUGUAGCGGUGAAAUGCGUAGAGAUCCGGAGGAACACCAGUGGCGAAGGCGACACGCUGGGCCGUACCUGACACUGAUGCGCGACAGCAUGGGGAGCAAACAGG